UACGUAGGGCGCAAGCGUUGUCCGGAAUUAUUGGGCGUAAAGAGCUCGUAGGUGGCUUGUCGCGUCUGCCGUGAAAGCCCAUGGCUUAACUGUGGUCUGCGUGAUACGGCUGCUAGAGUAGUAGGCAAGCGGAUCCUGGUGUAGCGUGAAAUGCGCAGAUAUCAGGAGAACACCUAUUGCGAAGGCAGCUCGCUGGACGUUACUGACGCUGAGACGCGAAGCGUGGAGCAACAGG
rnacentral:rRNA from 1 species